UAAAAACUCAUUCUUUCUUUCUUCUUCAAGAAAUGAAUGAAACGCACAGCACACAAUGGAAUUUAUGGCGAUGGGUCGGUCGCUCAAGAAUCAAGAAACUGGUAUGCUCGAUCUGUGCCGAUAAUCACUACGGCUUUUUUCUUUCCUUUGAAUUCUACAGCUCUGAGGAAAGAUCAUCAGGCUGUAGAGGAGAGUGGCAGAAACUAUGGGGUCCAGUCACUUCCACCAAAGAGUGUUGUGAAGAAAAUUAUGUACAUUCGACAUACAUUGCAGAACUUUAUAACACUAUAUCCAACAUUCCCACAAUUAUUUUGGCUUUGAUUGGUCUUAUAAAUGCUUUAUGACUGCGAUUUGAGAAAAUGUUCCUUCACCUAUCAAACAUGACACUUGCCAUUGGAAGCAUGUUGUACCACGCCACACUGCAAUGAGGUAAGUAUUGAUCUCCAUUUUUGUGUUGAAAUAUUUCAUUUCCAGAUAGUUUGUAUGAUACAAAAUGAGGUUGCCAUUUUAUAAAUUGUUUGUUACAAAACUAAAAAAUUCAGAAUUUAGGGAUAUAUCACUGUACUGUCCAUGGGGAAAUGUUGGUUUAUAACUCAGAUUUGUAAGGGAUGGAUGCUUCAAUGACCUUUGAGGAAAAUGCAUUAUGAAUUCAUUAUUCAUAAUGGAAAAGUUGGAUGGUGGUUUUCAAAGCAAAGCAAAGUAGUUUUAUUCAAAAUGUGAAUGGAUAGACUUUGUUCCAUGAUUUUUUUAACUGUGGCCCAAAAAUGUUGGAUGAUGCCUUAAUGUGAAAGCUAGUUGUUGACCCUAGUCCCUAAAUGCUAUUAUCUAUUGUGCUUUGAGGUUAUAAACCGUGAAUCAAGAACAUUCAAUCUUCUGCUUAAUAAAAGGUAUAACUUUACCCUUUUUCUCAUUCUUGAUCAUUCAAGAACAUUCAAUCUUCUGCUUGAGAAAAACAAAAAAAAAACCUUAAUCGUGCAAAAAUACGUUUUUGUGCCAAGAUAUCAUGUUUACGAUUGAUACUUGUUGUGAUCCCAAUUUUUUAAUUCUUGAUAUUUCAUUUCAAGAACAUUCAAUUUCUGCUUGAUUUAAACACAAAACUUUAAUUGAGGAAACAUGUUUUUUCCCAAUAACUUUCAAUCUUUUGCUUAUUGGAAACUUCAUUCCAACAUAUUUGCCCCGUUUGGUUUAUAAUUAAUACCAUUGGUAACGAUGAUGGGUUUUCGAUUUUUUCAUUUUGAGUAUUCAAGAACUUUCAAUCUUCUUCUUUGAAAAAAAAAUGAACUUUCUAUUUUUGGAAGAGAUUAAAUGUCACUGAAUGUGAAAACUAGUUUUUGCCGUAAUUGCUUGUCUCUAUCAGUAAAAAUUAUGAAUUUUUAUUCAUAAUAAUGCAUGAAUGAAUAUAUAUUCUGCUUCGAUGACCCUUAGUCCCUAAAUUCAAUUUUGCAAUUGCAAUUAGAAGUGAUUUUGCAUUAUGAACUUAAUGACCCUUGUAAGGGAUGGUUGCCUCAAUGACCUUUGAGGAACAUGCAUUAUGAAUUCAUUAUAAAUAAUGGAAAAGUUGGAUGGUGGCUUUCAAAGCAAAGUAAUUUUAAUAUGAAAUUUAUUCAACAUGUGGAUGGAUAGACUUUGUUCCAUGAUUUUUGUAAGGGUGGCCCAAAAAUGUUGGAUGAUGCCUUAAUGUGAAAGCUAGUUGUUGACCGUAGUCUCUAAAUGCUAUUAUCUAUUGUGCUUUGAGGGUAUAAACCCUAAAUCAAGAACAUUCAAUCUUCUGCUUAAUAAAAGGUAUAACUGUACCCAUUUUUCUCAUUCUUGAUCAUUCAAGAACAUUCAAGAAAAUUAUGUACAUUCGACAUACAUUGCAGAACUUUAUAACACUAUGGGUGUGUUUGAUUUGUUAAAGUGUAAGUACUGGACAGAACAGUACAAGACAGAACAGCACAACACAUGACAGAACAACACAUAACAAACUUUUGGGACAUUGAACAUUUUUUUGUCUUAUACGAUAUUUUGUUAAUAAAAUGGUAUUUUGGCAUUUUAGACAACUUGUACUGCGGACAAAAAGUUGUGCUGUGGUUUAGUGAGGGACAAAAAAUUCUGUUUUUGUCCUGUCCAUUGCCUCCCAGCUUGUCCAGUUCCUGAAACAGUUUUACAAUCAAACACAGUACAACUACAGUUGUCCUGUCCAGUCCCUUAUUUUUUAGCAGAUCAAACGGACCCUAUAUCCAACAUUCCCACAAUUAUUUUGGCGCUGAUUGGUCUUAUCAAUGCUUUAAGACAGCAAUUCGAGAAAAGGUUUAGUAUCCUUCAUCUGUCAAACAUGACACUUGCCAUUGGGAGCAUGUUGUACCACGCCACAUUGCAACAAGUCUCGGAGGAAAAUGAAAGUUCUCUCGUUGGACACCUUGUUCGUGGACUUGAGUUUAAUACAAUUGCACCCAAUCUUCUUGCAUUGGGGGCUGAGGAUGGUGAAAUUUGCAUAUGGGAUUUGGCCAAUUCUUCAUAGCCUACACAUUUUCCACCAUUAAAGGUUAGUGGCUCUGCUUCCUAGGGGGAAGUUUCAUUCUUAUCUUGGAAUAGUAAUGUGCAACACAUAUUAGCAUCCACUACAUAUAAUGGGACUACUAUGGUUUGGGACCUAAAGAAGCAAAAACCAGUGAUAAGCUUUGCAGACUCAGUUAGACGGCAGUGCUCAGCUUUGCAGAGGAAUCCUGAUGUUGCUACACAACUUUUUGUUACAUCAGAUGAAGAUGGAUCUGCUUCUAUAAGGGAAUAGUCUCUGCGGAUUGUCUGUUUAUUUUGAAGGUAAUUUGUCUGUGUAUUGACUUUAUAUGAGCAUGUUGGCGCAGCUUUGGGAUAUGAUAUGAGGAAUAUAAUGACACUGAUAAAGGAGUUUGUGGGGCACACUAGAGGUAAGACGUAAUUUCAAUGUCUUGGUGUCCCAAUGAUAGCUCUUAUUUGCUUACUUGUGGCAAAGAUAGCCGAACCAUAUGCUGGGACACUAUUUCUGGAGAGAUUGCCUAUGAAUUGCCAGCCGGAACUAACUGGAACUUUGAUGUGCAUUGGUAUUCUAAGAUACCUGGAGUAAUAGCAUCUUCCUUUGAUGGAAAAAUAGGCAUAUACAAUAUUAAGGUACAUAAAUAUAAUGUUUCCAUUAAAGCAUCUGUAUUUGGAACUCUGGAUUCUGGAAGUGAGAUUGAAACACUAGAACACAGUUAUAUCUUACUCAUGUGGGUCUGGGUCUGUUGACAUGCCUUUGUAAUACAAAACAAGCAGAUCUGAAGUUGAUUUAACAGAGUCUACUUUUUUUGUUUAGAAAUAUUGAGAACGAUAUUUAAAACCACAUGAUUCUUGCCGAAAAUUGUUUCUAAUUGUAUCUAUGUGCUAGUUGAGCUGAGACAGGAGUGGCUCAAAUGUAAGGAUGGUUGCGUGUUUUUUGCUACCAAUCAAGUGCAUUAAAAUAACAAGGCUAAUGAAUAGUCAUACUAUAUAAUAAUAUUGUAAAAUUCUUUAUGCACUUCAAUGUGCACCGGUAUUAAGCUAGCUUUCAAACAAGUUGUUUAUAAGGGCGUGCCUGACUAUUUGUUUAUGUCGACCAUCUUAUUGUUUCUUGUACAUUGUUUAUUAUAAUAUGAUGUAGGGAUUGUGUGAGCCAAUAUAUUUCUUAGCACCACACUGCGAUACCUGCUAAAAUUAAUUCAUCUUUACGCAUUUGCAGAAGACUUUGGUUAGGGAAGAAACCCGUUUCCGACCAUCCUGCUGCUUUAAUUUGUAUCUUAUGAUUAGUAGACGCAUGUUAAAUACUUUCUUUCUAAAGAUGAAUUAUAAAACUGCUAGUUGUCAGAAUUAUCAAUGAGAGAAGGUUUAUAAAGAUAACUAAGCUUUCUUGAACAUAAGCAUGCUGUUGGAGAGCAUAAUUCUAGGACUUGGAGGCUGUAUUUUGAACUUCCGUGAUUCCUGUUGUCGCUCAUUUAUUUGUCCGUGCUUAUUCUGAAUAUUGACUUACAGUUAAAGAGGCUGCUGAUCAGGUUCAACAACCAUAUGCAAUGUUUCCUUUGCCAUGUUCCUCAUCUCAAGAACAAUACGAUGCGCAACCAUCAAUGCAUGCACCAUCCUUUGCAUCUCACAGCCAUUCUGACUCAUCUAUCAAUGUUGCUGAUUAACCUUUAGAUUUUGCACCUAGGUUUGUCGUGAUGGUGACCUGCAUAUGCAAUCAACUUAUAAUCAUCAUGAUUCUGGUUCUUCAAUGAAUAACUGGGGUGCUCCAGUGGCACCUGGUGUUGGUGGUUAUGGACCAAUACCUCCAAGUCAUCCCUCAGGGCCAGAGGUUAUAAAUUUUAGCACACUGUUUUUUCUAGUCAACUAAUAUGUUUCUUUUAACACACCUGACACUUGGUUAAUUUAACCGCACAAUCCUUCUAUUACCACUCCUGAUCAUGUAGCAGCACCACACGGAAGGUUUCCUGGACCUGGUCACUCUCCAACAGUUUCACCAAAUGAUGCACCCUAUUCCCUUAGUACAAUAGCUACGAUUCAUCCUACUGCAGCUUUUGCUGCUGAUGCAUAUUGCGUAUCUGGUCUUCCUGAACGUUCUAAGAAGGUAAUUACCUUCUGAAGGUUAGUGCUUUGAUAGAUAUGAUUCAUCCAACCUCAUUUUGAAAACUGGCUUAGAGAGGAAAUAAAGAAAACAGUCAUUGCCGCUCCUUCAGCAGAUCAUCCAAAAGUUGAACAAACACUUGUGCGUGAUGGCAUUGAUAAAUCAUAUGUGAAGGCUGAUGAUGAGACAAAUAGUAGAAGUAUUGAUUCGUCUAGAUCAGCUGAGGAUGAAGAGGACUAAGAGGUCGAAGUUGAUAGAACUGCAGAAAUCAUCCAAGAAAUAAGAAAAAUUCUUACUGACCUUCUUUUGAAGGUAAGCAUUGGUUGAAACAUAAACCUCUGUCUUAUUUAACACCUUUUUUAUUUUGGUGGAAAAAAAGACGUUAAAUUAGAUGCAACACAACAAUUCAUGAUUAACAUCUGUAUACUGUCUGUAGCAGAAAAUGAUAUAUUACAGUUCUAAUUUUAUAGCCUCGUCCUUUAGUUACUGAUGAAUUGUUUGAUGAGAUUGUCACCAAAGUUCUUGGUGAAGACAAUUUGCCUGCUGAAGUGGGUCAUAAUGUUGCCACUUCAAACUAUAAUGCAUCAACCUCUCCACCCUCUGCUCCGGUUGCUAAGGCAACUGCUAAAGUUUUAGUUACAGUUAAAGCAAAGGAAAUAGAGAAUGAUGGUGCCAAUGAAAAAUCUAAUUCAAGCUCUCCUGGAGAUGUUUUAGGUCCUUGAAAUUAUGGUUCUGAUGCCGAUGAUGAAAUUGAGAGUUCCAUUGUGCCUGUUCUUGCAAAAGAUGCUGCAUAUAUGGUGAAUAAUAUAGUUAAAACCAACUCAUCGCUCUCCAGAAAUAGCAAUGGCGAUGCUAUUGAUCAAUUACAUGAUGCUAAGAUGACCGAAGAAUCUGAUCAUUCAGAUUCCAAGAUAGUUUAUAAAUAAUGCGCUUGAUGCAAUUGAAGACGCCACACAAGAUUUAGUGGUUACAGCUCGAAAGACAUGUCAGGGGUGCCAAGAUUUGACCUGCCUUGAAAGAAUGGUGUGGAAAAAGUAACAGAAGAUCAUCUAGGAAAGGAAUGCAGAAGAAAAUCAGAAAAAAGUGACCGACAUGUCAAGAGUUCUUCCGAGAAGGAUUUUAAAGAGGUAAAAAGUAGUCACAAGUCCAAGACAGAUGAAAAAAGUUACGAGAUCAAAAGAAGAAAGGAUGAAAGAUGUAACAUCCUAAAAUUUUAGUCAAUUAAAUUGAAUAAAUUUACUGAACUUUUUUUUUU